CGAGUGGCGGACGGGUGAGUAAUGUCUGGGAAACUGCCUGAUGGAGGGGGAUAACUACUGGAAACGGUAGCUAAUACCGCAUAACGUCGCAAGACCAAAGAGGGGGACCCUCGGGCCUCUUGCCAUCGGAUGUGCCCAGAUGGGAUUAGCUUGUAGGUGGGGUAACGGCUCACCUAGGCGACGAUCCCUAGCUGGUCUGAGAGGAUGACCAGCCACACUGGAACUGAGACACGGUCCAGACUCCUACGGGAGGCAGCAUG
rnacentral:rRNA from 1 species